ACUGAAUGGAGGACCGAACCGACUUACGUUGAAAAGUGAGCGGAUGAACUGAGGGUAGCGGAGAAAUUCCAAUCGAACCUGGAGAUAGCUGGUUCUCUCCGAAAUAGCUUUAGGGCUAGCCUCAAGUGAUGAUUAUUGGAGGUAGAGCACUGUUUGGACGAGGGGCCCCUCUCGGGUUACCGAAUUCAGACAAACUCCGAAUGCCAAUUAAUUUAACUUGGGAGUCAGAACAUGGGUGAUAAGGUCCGUGUUCGAAAGGGAAACAGCCCAGACCACCAGCUAAGGUCCCAAAAUAUAUGUUAAGUGGAAAAGGAUGUGGCGUUGCCCAGACAACUAGGAUGUUGGCUUAGAAGCAGCCAUCAUUUAAAGAGUGCGUAAUAGCUCACUAGUCGAGUGACACUGCGCCGAAAAUGUACCGGGGCUAAACAUAUUACCGAAGCUGUGGAUUGUCCUUUGGACAAUGGUAGGAGAGCGUUCUAAGGGCGUUGAAGCAUGAUCGUAAGGACAUGUGGAGCGCUUAGAAGUGAGAAUGCCGGUGUGAGUAGCGAA
rnacentral:rRNA from 1 species